GAACUUCUGCAAAUUGCACAAAUGUGGUCAGUGCUCUCAAAGUGCUGCUAUCAGGAGAAAUGGAAAUGAGAGUCAAUGAAAGGAAAAUUGUCAGGCUUCCGUGCUGGCAGACCCAAAAGCAGGAGGAUGUGGUAAAACUCUGGAGACAUCUGCACGAGGUCAUCACAAACAAAGGGUUAUGUCGUGGCUAUUCAUUCAACAGUAGAACUCAGGGCGAUGUUUAAUACAUGCAGGCCGGCAGCGGACCCUUGAGCAGGUGAUCCACAGCGGACUGGACAGCGGAUAAUGUCAAGUCAUUCGACUUGCUGGUGGACCUUGAUGUGAGCAUAGAGGAGUUCAGAGUUCAAGCUUUCAUUAAACGUGCCUAUAAAACACAUUAUGUGUGCUCUUAGGGGCUAACGUAUUAAAUGUAUUUCCUGUGUCAUACAACAUUUGCAAUUUGUUUCUGUAUUUAAAUAAGUUUUUCAAGCAGAGGUUUAUAAAAAACAUUGCACUUGUGUCUUUCUUUCUUUCUUUCUUUCUUUCUUUCUUUCUUUCUUUCUUUCUUUCUUUCUUUCUUUCUUUCUUU